UACCAGCACCCCGAGUGGUCGGGACGUUUAUUGGGCCUAAAGCAUCCGUAGCCGGUUCUACAAGUCUUCCGUUAAAUCCAACUGCUUAACAGGUGGGCUGCGGAAGAUACUAUAGAGCUAGGAGGCGGGAGAGGCAAGCGGUACUCGAUGGGUAGGGGUAAAAUCCGUUGAUCCAUUGAAGACCACCAGUGGCGAAGGCGGCUUGCCAGAACGCGUUCGACGGUGAGGGAUGAAAGCUGGGGGAGCAAACCGG
rnacentral:rRNA from 1 species